AGAUGAUAAAAAGAUCUAACACAAUAUUAGGUGAUAAUAUAUGUAUUAUGGAUUUAUAAUCAGCUAUAAUGCGGCGGUCAUUUUGGACAGGGAACACAGAAAUCAUUAACAUGAAACGAACACAACAGGAGGGUGUAUAAUCCAAAGUAAAAGUACAAGUAUAAAUAAUUUCACACUCCAUAUAUUAAGCAAACCGGACAGCACAAUUUUCUUGUUUUAAUUUAUUUACGGAUAGCCAACACUCAGACAUAAUUUACAAACGAAGCAAUUCGUUUGAGUAACGCCAGAUCAGAGGCAGUAGGGAUGACCAGGGAUGUUUUCUUGAUAAAUGUGUGAAUUGGACCAUUUUCCUGUCCUGCUAACCAUUACGAUUAGUUUUGGGUGUGAGGGUAAUUGUAUGGAUUAAAACGUACAUAGUUUAUUUGUCAUUUUAGUAAUGUAGUGGAGUAAAGGUUGUUAAAAAUAUAAAUAGUACAGUGAAGUACAGAUAUCUCAAAAAACGACUUAAGUACUUUACACCACUGGAGAAUGGUAAAUGUGAUUAAUACAUGCAUUAAAUUAACAUUUGUAGGCCUAACCAAAUGAGGUGAUUAACGGUACAUUUACUAGGCUACUGGUGACAUAUGUAAUGGGGAAUUGAUAAAAAAUAAACAAUCAAAGGGCAAGCAAUACACACAAUGAAACAAUUAAUGCAGCAGGAAUUGGUGGGAGACAGCUGAGCGCAUUCUGGAGAGAUGCGCCUAUAUCUUCGCCACCCACCCCUCCCCUCUUCAGUGUCGGCCUGCAAUGCACUUAUUGGGAAUGCCUCUAUACAUGUGGUUUGUAGUUGCAUUGGCUUAUAGCCCUGAUACCUGACAAUGAUUUAAGAUUAAUCAUUUUGGCUAUUCAAGCUCUGAAUAUCAGAUACAAUAGACUAAAUGACACAGCGGUUAGUAAGGGAGCAGUCAUGGAGAGGAGGGCCCCAAACUACUCCAAAUGGGCAGAAAGGCGAUCCACUGUGGUUUAUGCAAUGCGCUCUGCCACAUUCGGCUCGUGGAGGAUGCUGACUUUGGGCACGGAAUACAGCUCAUGGGCCCAGUCUCCUGAAAGCCUUCGUCAACGACAGGCAGUGAUAAGCGAGAAUGCUGAAGAAACGGACAGCAUCGACAUUGACCCGUCAUGGAGAGAGCAGCAGAUGGACGUUCCUCAACAGUAUGAUGCCAUCCUGCACCUUGACGAGAGAGCAGCUUCAGGAGGGAGUCGUGGUAAUCAUAACAUCAUUCGUACACACGAAGCCCUCAAUAGCACGCCAUGGUCCAAGUCUAACAGGUAAAGUUGAUAGUUUGAUAUUUUAAGUAGAAAUUGUGCACCAAUAUUGACAUUUUAAAGCCUGUGAUAUUCAAUGAAGUUCCCUUUAAUAUAGACCACAUAGAGAAUUAAAUAAAUUAGAUUUGUUAUAUAAAUACAGAUUUGCUAAAGUGCCAAAAUUCAGCAUUUUGUCAUGUCCCUCUGUGCACCCUCUGUGACUUCCAGGAUCAUGUAAACCCAAGUAACCGCAACAUUUCUCAAAGUUUUAACCAUCAUUAUAAAGCACUAGUUAUUUCUGAAGAUUGUUAUCAUGUAAUUAGUGAUUCAUAACCAAUUUUAAGAAUAAUAAUGUUGAUCAUUCCAUUCGUUUUAAUAUGGUGAAACUAUUCCUUUUUAAAUAAUAAUAAUUAAAAAAAAACAUUGAACAUUAAUACUUCAAAUCAUAGUGUAAAAGCAGUUGAGAUGGUUCUACUAUUUUUUGGCAAUUUUCUAGUGUUUUGUGGUGGAAAACUGAGUGAGUCGAGCAUAAUACAUCAACAUUGAUAGACAGGCUAGAAAUGUUUAACAAAUUCAAUUGCCACUCUGUUGCACACAACAAGCUUCCAUUUCCCCUGUCACAAGGGGAUUUCUGCCUGAUUUAAGAUGAAUCAUCCACCCUGUUACAGCUGUCAACCCUGUUAGUUUAUUUUCCACUUAAUAGGCACUUUAAUAGUAUUUUUUUUUACUCUCUGGGAAAACUUGUUUUUUUAUCAAGUCAAACAUGAGCUCUUUAUGACAAAAUGUUAACAUUUUAUUAAAUAAAGUAUUUGCCACCAAGUUAAACAUCUCAAAAUGAAACAAAUUGAUAGAACAAGUCGAAUGACCCAGUAAUGGUAUUCUCAGGCUAGGCUAGCGCAAUGACCUGAGGAAGAUUAACACUUUUGACAACUUUGAUAUAGAGGCUUUCUUCCCAGUAGCGUUUGUGCAAGGGAUAUUUUGUCUCUAAUAUCACUGAAAGGGUUACUUAUUAAUUUGCAUUUUCAUUCUGUUGCAAUAAAUAAUUGCAGCCACCAGAGGGAUUAAAACCUCACUCAACUCCUCUAGAUAUCUACAAAUCAAACACAGGCCAUGAGUUAUUAGGCACUUUUACGCACAGGCAUUUCUCAAAGUUUCUUUCUAUCAACCUAAGAGGCUGUUCUGUUGGAUUUAUUGCAACAUUGAGCUUGUACCAUACCAUCAAUAGCUCUCUUACAUAGAUGAGGUCAAUUAAACACAUUCAAUAAAUGUAUAGCAGAGGCUGGUGGGAGGAGCUAUAGGAGGAUGGGCUCAUUGGAAUGAGUCAUUGGAAUGUAAUUACUGGAACGGUGUCAAACCUGUGGUUUCCAUGUUUGAUACCUUUCCAUUUAUUCCAUUAUGUCCUCUUAUAGCUUCUCCCACCAGUCUGAUGUAUAGGCUAUGAAAACCUGAAUUCCAGUGGUCCUUGAGGAUAGUAAGUGACAGUGAUGCCAAGCCGGCACAGAGGGAGAUAAGCUCCUAAACCAGGGGGCACCCAAGCAGCUCAAACAGGGUCUUUGGCACAGGGGGACAGACCGACCAUGGUUGCACAGAAAGACCCGCCAGGCCACUGCCAUCCCACCCACAGUCCCUAGUUGGGAAACACAGGACUUCCUAGGGAAUAUCUUCAGCAGUGAGCUGGUGGGGGAGGCUCAUCUCCAUUCAGUCCUGGAGUGGCCUAGCCAGUCUCCAGAUCUCAACCCCAUAGAAAAUCUUUGGAGGGAGUUGAAAGUCCGUGUUGCCCAGCAACAGCCCCAAAACAUCACUGCUCUAGAGGAGAUCUGCAUGGAGGAAUGGGCCAAAAUACCAGCAACAGUGUGUGAAAACCUUGUGAAGACUUAAAGAAAACGUUUGACCUCUGUCAUUGCCAACAAAGGGUAUAUAACAAAGUAUUGAGAUAAACUUUUGUUAUUGACCAAAUACUUAUUUUCCACCAUAAUAUGCAAAUAAAUUCAUUAAAAAUCCUACAAUGUGAUUUUCUGGAUUUGUUUUCCUCAUUUUGUCCAUCAAGGUUGAAGUGUACCUAUGAUGAAAAUAAAAGGCCUCUCUCGUCUUUUUAAGUGGGAGAACUUGCACAUUUGGUGGCUGACUAAAUACUUUUUUGCCCCACUGUAUAUAUGUCAGAAAAGCUGUAAAAAAACUAAAAAUAUAGUUGUCCUCCGUAGACUGGGGGUGGUGGAUGGGUUAAUAAAAAAUAUAAACAAUUAUAGGCUAUAGAUAGUCUUGAUCAUUUGGGACCCCUUGGCUAUUUCACUCAUGACAGGUUAUAGCCCAGACUUAAUCAAUAUUUUGUUUUGUCUCAUUUAUUGAUAUGAAUAUAGCCUCUUCGUGAUGGGGUUGUGCAAUGCAAAUGGCUAUAACAAGCCUACAUACAGAGUGGAAUUCGCUAAUACAGCAGUCAAAAUGCCUAAUAUAAGACCUGCAGUCCAUGCUGCUAAAUACUGAAAAAGUGUGAUUCAUUAGGUUACGUGAUCACCACAGCCCCACCGACUAUAAAAAUAAAUUAUGCAAUUAUAUAGCCAUUAAAUAACACACAACAGCAUGGCUUAUUAAGAUAGUGGAAUAGGCCUAGCCUAAAUCAGAUUUACUUUCUAUUUUGCAGCUCAGGCCGUUAUUCUAGACAAGGCUCUUCUCUGUCUUUAUAGAAUCAUUCUUACAAUAGUAAUUUGCUGAAGGCCCAAGCCUAUACUACGUCAUCUACUGGUAUAACGUCUUUAUCGAAUGCCGUUCUAAAACAAGCUCUUGACUUUUAUUUUGAUCAUUAAACCAGAAGAUGCAAAGCAACUAUCAUCUGGUCUAGAAGUUGCUUGAUUGACUAACUAACUUCGACUAGCUACGUUUGUUUCGUGUCCUUUGCAGAUGCCACAUUCCUGACAAAAGUUUGUACAUAUAAAAAAGAUCUGUAUCCGAGUAAAGCGAGACGUAAGUAAGAAUUAAACGAUUAUAUUUUGAUUCAUAGUCGUAACAUAUGGUUUAAACGUUUACGUAUCUAUUUUAACGGUUACUUUUCAUGUUUCACGCAUGGAUUUUCUUACAAUCCUAACAAUUUAUGUAUGGAUUUUCUUACGAGUUUAAUGAUACAUACGUUCAAACUUUUGGCAGUUAUCUGGCUCAUAUCUAUCGUUUCCCCCCGUUGGCCCUCCAGUUCCCAUUUCUUUGGGUUAGAUGGGGUCCGAGCUGCUUGUUCAGGUUGUUUGCUACCCUUAUCUGCUAUAUGGGCAUCUACAUCCCAUUCAUAUCCAUUCAAAUCUGUCUGAGCUGGCACUGCCUCCAGAAACUGCCCAUUCAUUAUGCCGCUGUAAAUAUGGCUGCAAACUCGGACCAGACAGGGAAAUUGAAUAGAGGUUCAGGCAGACGGGAGGUGCGAUAUUGUAACGUUUGAAUCACAUUGGAUGACCUAUGGUGACUUAUUAGUGCUUUUGAACAUAAACAAAUAAUAAAACAAUUUACAGAUUACAGCUUUAACGGUCAUUGACAUGGCUGACAUUGGGUCCUCGAUUCUCUCAGACUGAGAAAAUAGUUCCAAUGCCGGCUAGCGUUAGCUUUGCGCCGUCCUCCAGUAACUUUGUGCAUGGUCUGAUGUAGGCUACAUUAGCUAAGAAUAGCAUUCCUGAUCUGAUUCUCAGUAUCACCGGAAAAAUCUGUCUCUUGCACCCUGCCUAAGGCGAGUGCUAAAUGUUGUACAGUCUCACCUUCCCUUUGUGCAAUUUUCUGAAAUGUUUGGCAGGCAAAUGCUGUGUUAACUUGUGGAAUGAAGAAGAUUUAAUGCUCUGAUCGCAGCUCCAUAAUCCGCAUCAUUCAGUCCAGAAAAAGUAGAGCUCUCCUGCGUUGACAGUUGCACACAAUGUGGACCUUUUCUAUAAUCAGUAGUGCCACAAUAGCUUACAAGGGGCACUCUUUUCAGGCCACUUAGAUACAAC
rnacentral:lncRNA from 13 species